ACUCAUCCAGUGUGAUGUUGUCCUUAUAAAAUGGGGACAUUUGGCCACACACACACAGAGGGAAAACGCCAGUGAAGAUGAAGGCAGAGCUUCAGCUGAUGUUUCCGUGAGCCAAGGAGGGCCAGCAAUUGCUAGCAAACAACUAGAAGUUACAGAAUAGGCAGAUUCUUCCUCACAGGCCCCAGAAGAACAGAAUCUAAGAGACAAAAAAUGAGGCAUAAUCUCCCACGCUGCAGCUGAUGAAGGUGCUAUAGAUAAGCUUCUGAGCCGUCACUGGGGAGCUAUCUUCUAUCUUAUAGAUACUGAAACCCCCCAAGGUGGAGGAGUUAACUACACAAUGAGCAGACUGUGGCCACGACAAAAGCUGCCACAGUUCUGAGAACUGGCUUCAAAGAAAUGGAAACACACUGACCCUGAAACUGAAGACAAAGUGCACCUAAAAUAAAAUGAUGCUGAUCAGACCACCUAUGACCAAUUUCAAGAUAACUGUCAGAGCUGACUAUGCUGUCUCUGCAUGCAUCCCCCUCCCUCAGACUACAAAACUCUUGCCCACUGAUUGUCAAUUGGGGGGAGUGGGCCUUUGGACCGAGGCCCGCCUCCCUCUCUCUCCUAGUUGCUGGCAUCCAAAAUAAAGCAAACUUCCCUUUCCA